rnacentral:rRNA from 1 species
UACGGAGGGCGCAAGCGUUAUCCGGAUUCACUGGGUUUAAAGGGUGCGUAGGUGGAUGGGUAAGUCAGCGGUGAAAUACUCUCGCUUAACGAGGGAACUGCCGUUGAGACUAUUCAUCUUGAAUGCGGUGGAGGUGGGCGGAAUGUGUCAUGUAGCGGUGAAAUGCUUAGAUAUGACACAGAACACCUAUUGCGAAGGCAGCUCACUACGCCGUGAUUGACACUGAGGCACGAAAGCGUGGGGAUCAAACAGG